rnacentral:lncRNA from 13 species
AUGGGAUAUAAAGUGAAUGCUGCAGUUACCACGGUAUCAUAUUUAUCAAAAGGCUUAAGUGGUUGCAGUGCUGUGUGUGGCUUGGAACCACAUGUGGUACCAGGCUGUAAUAAACAGAAGCCUUUGUUUUGCAGAAGCCAUGGAUUAUAUGUUCUUCUUGAGCCAGGUGAGAACCUCAGAGUAUAUUUCUUCCCUCAAAGGAAAGAUGUUUCUGUGACACGAAAAUUUGGUGUGG